GCCUGGGUGUGGUGGCGUACACCUAUAGUUCCAGCUACCUGGGAGGCUGAGAUGGGAGGAUUACUUGAGCUAUGCCUUUUGGGUGUCUGCACUAAGUUCAGCAUCAAUAUGGUGACCUCCUGGGAGUUUCCGUCAGAAACGGAGCAGGUCCAAACUCCUGGGCUGAUCAGUAAGUAGUGGGAUCGGGCCUGUGAAUAGCCACUGCACUCCAGCCUGGGCAACAUAGUGAGAUCUCGUCUCU
rnacentral:sRNA from 1 species